GGUGAGUGUAGGUCCAUGAAGCCCACGUGGACAGACAUCCAAGCUGAGGUAUCCCUCAGCUUGGCCUGUCCUGCACCUCAGCAUGCUGUGAGAAAGGCGCCUCUUUCUGCAGUGGUGGGCAGGACAGCUGGGAGUCCAGGGCUGGCUGAGGGGUGACAUGGGGUUCUCUCUUUCCAGGAGCCUGGGCUGCACUGUGGUGGAGAUGCUGACAGAGAAACCACCGUGGGCAGAGUAUGAAGCUAUGGCUGCCAUCUUCAAGAUUGCCACCCAGCCCACCAAUCCUCAGCUGCCCUCCCACAUCUCUGAACAUGGCCGGGACUUCCUGAGGCGCAUUUUUGUGGAGGCUCGCCAGAGACCUUCAGCUGAGGAGCUGCUCACACACCACUUUGCACAGCUCAUGUACUGAGCUCUCACGGCCACACAGCUGCCGGUCGCCCUUUGCUGCAUGGCAGGGGGCUGCUGCUGGGCUCAGUGAAGUUGCUGCUUCUCCCAGACUGUUACAGGUGACGGACGCCUCAAGAGAGAGAAGAGAAAAUGAAAGCAGCUGGUUUUGCAGAAGUGUGUGUCGCAUGCGCCAGUUGGGCCUGGACCCUCCUGUGUCCAUCCCUGUUCCCCCAGGGGCUCUAUCAGCCCCUGUACCCCACACUGCCCUCUGAAGACAGCACAGGCUCCUGCUUCCACCUCGGCCCUUGCCCAGGGUGGGGCCUGGCCCUCAUCUUGACCAAAGCUGCUGUGUGGCAGCUAGGCCUCUCUACGACCCCAUCUUGGUGGCUGCACACUCUUCCUGGCCCGCACCCCCAUCCCCAGUCCCUGUUCCCCAAGAGGAUACAGAGCACAGUGCUGGCUGACUCAACUGUGCGUCCCAGGUUCAGGGUCUUACAGAGCUCCACCCCCUGGGGUCUUACCUCACUGGGAAUGUGUUUUGAAAAUGAAUUUGAAGACAAGCCAACAAACCCUGCACUCCAAAAAAGCAAAACAGACCCUAAUUUUUUUGUGCCAAAAACUGUGGACAUGCUGGCUCAGCAUCCUCAGGACCAAGUUGUUGCUUAAUUUAUUGUUUUUUAAUAACUAAUCCAGAUAAAAAGUUGUGGGGCUUCAGGGUGACCUGGGCCCAAAGGUUCUGAAGGGCAGUUCCUGGCAGCCCCAGGCUUGCUGUGGGAAGGGGCCGUGCCGUCACUUUCUCAUCAUUCCAUGGGGUGUGUCUGCCUGGGCCAACUCUGCAUGGAGAGGCCAGGGCUGGGGACAGUCCGCACUCUGCCACCCUCCUGCCCCUUCCACCCACCCCAGCUCUAUGUCUGUGUCUGAAUUGUGGAUCGUGCAGCCAUGGUUAUUGUGGAACUGUGGAACCUGCAGCCAUAGUUAUUUGACUAUAUCUUGACCGAGGGCUUGCAGUGCAAAGCCAGGCCAGUGUUGCGCAUUACUUACAAUAAAAGGGAUCAUUUAUAUCAGAGGGGUCCUGUGGCAGUGCUUUCA
rnacentral:lncRNA from 1 species